GUACUGAGAAAAAAUCUUAAAGGUUUCAACAGACAAAGAAAUUGAUGAUUAAGAUUGAAAUAAAUUCAUAAAACACAUUUAAAUCUAACUAGUUGUCAUUGUUGCAUCUGUUUUUGUAGGAUCAAUGGAAUAGUUUCUUAAUCAUGUUAAUGCUAACUGUAUUGAAGACUUGCUCAUUUUGAUAGGUCACUGGUCUAAAUUUUACACGUUAAG
rnacentral:lncRNA from 1 species